rnacentral:rRNA from 1 species
UACGUAGGGUGCAAGCGUUGUCCGGAAUUAUUGGGCGUAAAGAGCUCGUAGGCGGUUUGUCGCGUCGAAUGUGAAAACCCGGGGCUCAACCCCGGGCCUGCAUUCGAUACGGGCAGACUAGAGUUCGGUAGGGGAGUCUGGAAUUCCGGGUGUAGCGGUGGAAUGCGUAGAGAUCCGGAAGAACACCGGUGGCGAAGGCGGUCUGCUGGGCAGUUGCUGGACACUGAGGCGCGACAGCGUGGGGAGCAAACAGGG